rnacentral:hammerhead_ribozyme from 1 species
GUGAUGUCUGCGGCUGAAUCUGCCGCACUGACGAGCCCAUCCAGGGCGAAACAUCCA